AUGUAUGUGAGAAACCUCGCGCGACGUCUCCACAGAAACAGAACUCCAUCCUUGCUCUUCAAGUUGGAUAUCCGGAAGGCCUUUGACUCGGUGCGAUGGGAGUACAUCCUUGACCUACUCUGCCGGUUGGGAUUUCCAAUCCGCUUUCGGGAUUGGGUGGCGGCCCUCUUAUGCACGUCCUCUUCGCGCGUCCUCCUCAACGGUAUUGCCGGGCCCGCCAUCUACCAUGGGCGAGGGCUCAGACAAGGGGACCCCCUUUCACCCCUUCUCUUUGUCCUCGCGAUCGACCCCUUACAACAGCUCCUCGACAUUGCCACAAGUCACAACCUGCUCCAGAAAAUUCGAGGCCGUGGAUCUAUU
rnacentral:rRNA from 1 species